CAUAAAGUGCGUCGUAGUCCGGAUUGGAGUCUGCAACUCGACUCCAUGAAGUCGGAAUCGCUAGUAAUCGUGGAUCAGAAUGCCACGGUGAAUACGUUCCCGGGCCUUGUACACACCGCCCGUCACACCAUGGGAGUGGGUUGCAAAAGAAGUAGGUAGCUUAACCUUCGGGAGGGCGCUUACCACUUUGUGAUUCAUGACUGGGGUGAAGUCGUAACAAGGUAACCGUAGGGGAACCUGCGGUUGGAUCACCUCCUUACCUUAAAGAA
rnacentral:rRNA from 1 species